UACGAAGGGAGCUAGCGUUGUUCGGAAUCACUGGGCGUAAAGCGCACGUAGGCGGAUGUGUCAGUCAGGGGUGAAAUCCCGGAGCUCAACUUCGGAACCGCCUUUGAUACAGCACAUCUGGAGUCCGGAAGAGGUGGGUGGAAUUCCUAGUGUAGAGGUGAAAUUCGUAGAUAUUAGGAAGAACACCAGUGGCGAAGGCGGCUCACUGGAUCGGUACUGACGCUGAGGUGCGAAAGCGUGGGGAGCAAACAGG
rnacentral:rRNA from 1 species